rnacentral:rRNA from 1 species
AACGAACGCUGGCGGCAGGCUUAACACAUGCAAGUCGAGCGAGACCUUCGGGUCUAGCGGCGGACGGGUGAGUAACGCGUGGGAACGUGCCCUUCUCUACGGAAUAGCCCCGGGAAACUGGGAGUAAUACCGUAUACGCCCUUUGGGGGAAAGAUUUCUCGGAGAAGGAUCGGCCCGCGUUGGAUUAGGUAGUUGGUGGGGUAAUGGCCCACCAAGCCGACGAUCCAUAGCUGGUUUGAGAGGAUGAUCAGCCACACUGGGACUGAGACACGGCCCAGACUCCUACGGGAGGCAGCAGUGGGGAAUCUUAGACAAUGGGGGCAACCCUGAUCUAGCCAUGCCGCGUGAGUGAUGAAGGCCUUAGGGUUGUAAAGCUCUUUCAGCUGGGAAGAUAAUGACGGUACCAGCAGAAGAAGCCCCGGCUAACUCCGUGCCAGCCGCCGCGGUAAUAC